GACGAACGCUGGCGGCGUGCCUAAUACAUGCAAGUAGAACGCACAGUUUAUACCGUAGCUUGCUACACCAUAGACUGUGAGUUGCGAACGGGUGAGUAACGCGUAGGUAACCUGCCUGGUAGCGGGGGAUAACUAUUGGAAACGAUAGCUAAUACCGCAUAAUAUUGAUUAUUGCAUGAUAAUUGAUUGAAAGAUGCUAUUGCAUCACUACCAGAUGGACCUGCGUUGUAUUAGCUAGUAGGUGAGGUAACGGCUCACCUAGGCGACGAUACAUAGCCGACCUGAGAGGGUGAUCGGCCACACUGGGACUGAGACACGGCCCAGACUCCUACGGGAGGCAGCAGUAGGGAAUCUUCGGCAAUGAACGAAAGUCUGACCGAGCAACGCCGCGUGAGUGAAGAAGGUUUUCGGAUCGUAAAGCUCUGUUGUAAGAGAAGAACGGGUGUGAGAGUGGAAAGUUCACACUGUGACGGUAUCUUACCAGAAAGGGACGGCUAACUACGUG
rnacentral:rRNA from 1 species